UCCCGUAUUACAGGCAGAUUCUUUUUAUCAGCUGAGCCACAGGGGAAGCCCAGAGAAAGGAGAGGGACUGAUACUACAGGAGUGAAGGAACAUCUCUGUUUAUCCAAGACCCUGCCUCCUCUGUCCUGCUGUGAGUUCACACACACAGCUCAGCUCCACAUGACUUUAAGGCCCCCCCUUCUCUCAGGCAGUCACUUCUCACGGUAAGAGCUCUCCCCCGGCCCCUAGAAUUGCUGUUACCGCCCCUGACCCCUCAGCCUAUAGAGGGAGCCACAGCUCCCCACUAUUGCUUGUGCCCAGCUGGCCCCAUCCUACCCUGCCCAUACCCCUGGGGACAGUCUUUCCAUCAAGCCCUAGCGAUGCUCAGCAGCCAGCUCCCUCUGCCAGGGCCCUGGCUGCCGCACCCAAUGAGGCCAGCCCACAGAGCUGGUCAGAGGGACCCAGGUCAGCUCAAGUGAGAGGAUACCCACUUCUCUGAGCCUGAGGAAAGCAGGAGAAGGUGGACCAAUAGAGAUGUCUGCAGGUUUCAGGAAGAUUAAAGGACUCAACACAUGGAAAGCCGUCAGCACAACACCUGCCCAUCUUGUGCACUCAGCACACAUCAGCUGUUCUUACUUCCAGGAGAGGUGGGGAAGAGCAUGGGCUCGGAGGACAGGCUCAGUACUUGUGGCA